GGCGCGCUCCAGCGGCGCGGGCACAGCAGGGGCAGCCGCGGGAGCCGGAGUCCGCGCAGAGCCGGGGCCCGCAGACGCUCUGCGGGCGGAGGAUAAUACAGCUUGAAGGACAAAGCUGUUGAAUUCCAGAAAGAGAUAACUUAAACAUGAAAUUCGUCCAGUUUGCAAAACAAGUAUUGUUCCUUGCUUGACAGAUGACGAAGCUGAAAACGAAGAAUGAGUCUUGGAAAAGAGAGAAGAAAAUCAUUAUGAAAAAUCAGCCCAGGCAUAGAAGUCAAUUCAGACAGAG